rnacentral:rRNA from 1 species
UACGAAGGGGGCUAGCGUUGCUCGGAAUCACUGGGCGUAAAGCGCACGUAGGCGGAUCUUUAAGUCAGGGGUGAAAUCCUGGAGCUCAACUCCAGAACUGCCUUUGAUACUGGGGAUCUCGAGUCCGGAAGAGGUGAGUGGAACUCCGAGUGUAGAGGUGAAAUUCGUAGAUAUUCGGAAGAACACCAGUGGCGAAGGCGGCUCACUGGUCCGGUACUGACGCUGAGG